rnacentral:rRNA from 1 species
UACGGAGGAUGCGAGCGUUAUCCGGAUUUAUUGGGUUUAAAGGGUGCGUAGGCGGAACAUUAAGUCAGCGGUAAAAUCGAGGGGCUCAACCCCUUUAAGCCGUUGAAACUGGUGAUCUUGAGUGGGCGAGAAGUAUGCGGAAUGCGUGGUGUAGCGGUGAAAUGCAUAGAUAUCACGCAGAACUCCGAUUGCGAAGGCAGCUCACUGGACUGCAACUGACACUGAGGCUCGAAAGUGUGGGUAUCAAACAGG